rnacentral:lncRNA from 1 species
AAGACAAACAAAUUUAAAUAAGGAUAAACUAAAUUUAGUUCAAUGGUCUUGGCAUGUGAAUUACAACUUCAAGUAGAACAUUUGUUUCACUGUAGGAACAUGGUAUGUGAGCACCUACAAUUUCUGCCAAAUCCUGAGACAUGUGGUUUAGAUGAGUCUGCUCAGAAACACUAGUGCAUCCUAGAAGGGAAAAAAAAAAAACAUUUUGGAAGUUAUCUUGUGUCUUUGGGGAUUCUCUUGUUUAAACAUUCUCUUCUUGGCUAUAAAAAAUGGAAAACCACAAACCCUCAUAAAAUAAUAACAAUUAAAACACUAAUUACAGAAUAUGAGUUUAAAUUUAUUUUAACCCCCCUAAACACUAAUAAAAUUUUAAAUGAUGUAAAUUCCCUUUCUAGAGCCAAAGUAUUAUCAAAACAAAGAUCUCACUCCAGUUCUCUGAGGAGAAGAUAAUACUUUAGCUACAUAGAAACAAGAAUAAAAUAAUACGCUUCUACUCUUCAUAGAUUGGAAAAGCUUCAUUUGAAAUACUGUUUCUGAUAGGAAACCAGAUUUGCUUUCCCCACCCUGAAGUUCUCUGGGUGGUCCUUGGUAUCAUCAUUCUUUUUUUUUUUCUCCUAAGCUCAAUACUUUGAGAGAAUUAUCUGUUUCAUUCUGUUAACAUUUCCCUCUCCUUUACUUGUUCCGAUGCUCAUGCUCUUAGACCAUAGUAGUGGCCAUAUAGGGCAGGGAUGGUUCUUAUCCCCAUUUCACAGAUAAUGAAGCUGAGGCUCAUAGGCCGACUCCCCAACAAGUCUCCAUUCUAGUCCCUUAAACCUUUUAUAGGUACCUAGUCUUCCCUUUCUAGGACCCUGAGUCCACCUGUCAUAUUCCUGCUCCAGAACCAGCAGGAAUUCUGAAUCAAGUCCAGAUUCUUCUGUCUGAUCACCCUUUCCCUAUAAUCUGGCCUGAUCUGGACUAGUGGAUCUUUCCUCCAUGUUUUCCCUCCUCUCCAGACAGGUGGUCUCCACGUUUCCUGACUUGUGCUGCUCCUGAUGAGGCUCCCUCUCCAUUCAGCCUCCUAGUUUCAGUCACCUGUGCUUUCUUGUUUCUCCUGCUGCACUCAGUCACCACCACACAAUAUAAGUGACUUAACUGAUCUCUACUUGUAUCUGGGUGUCAGUUUAGUUCCUCAAUAGAGGCUCAGAACCUAGAGAGCAGUGGUUCUCAAAGUCUGGUCCCUAACCUGAAAUAUCACAUCACCCAGGCAACCUAGUGAUGCACACUUUAGACUGUAUCCCAAAUCUAUUGUAUCAAGAACACUCUCAAAUUGAUCAUGCAGAGUCACCUAGAGGACUUGCUAAACCACAGAUGACUGGACCCAAUUUUAGUGUCUCUGAUUUAGGAAGUCCAGGGUAGGGUCAAAAUUUUGUAUUUCUAAAAAGGUCCCCAGGUGAUGCAGAUACAGCUUAUCUAGGGACCACACUUUGAGAAUCACUGCUGUACAACUCCUCGUGGGAUUUACCUCAGUAGGUACUUUUGAUUGGAACUUGAAUAUUUAGGUGGUUUUCCCUAUAAAGAUCUAUGAUUUCUGCUUCAAGAGUGAUUAUAA